AAGAUUUCAACUGAGGCAGAGGGUUACCAUGCGGUCUUGGCAUCUGACAGCCUCAAAGAUGUUGAAAAGAUUUCAACUGAGGCAGAGGGUUACCAUGCGGUCUUGGCAUCUGACAGCCUCAAAGAUGUUGAAAAGAGGAUCAUCAUGGUACCGUGAUAAUCUGACAGCUUUAAAGAUGUUGAAAAGUGUCUCCUGGAAAUUGCCCUGAGAGACAGGAUCAACCAAUGCAACAGAAAAGGCAGUGGUCCCCAAAAGAGGUUGCAGCUAUGAUGAGACAUUUUUAAAAAGCACAGUGCC